UGUUUUUAUAAAUAAAGUUUUGUUUUAAAAAAACGGAUGACGUCAUCAACCGGAGCCUAUUUAAGGUGCGACUAAUUGCCGGAGCGUUCUCUCUCCACUUGGCUGCCAGACUCCGGUCGGUCGACACCGUCCGAUUGCUGCUCUCCACGCAUUUUGACGAAGCAUUUGAAGAGAAGCUCAGCUUGGCAGAAGGUGUGCAGUUCGAAUCAAAAUGGCUGACUCUGCGUAUCCUUUCAACGUGGCUUCUUCAAACAUUUUGUUGCAAUGACCCAAUUUCAACACAUUUAACUUUGUUACCUUGUCUUGCAGGUCAUCGAGGAGGUGUCCGGUUCUUGUCACAAGUAAGGAAAAAAAAAAAACUCAAAAAAAUUCAAAUUCAACUUGUCCCCUUUUUUUCUCCCCCCAGCACACAGAUCACGGGUGAGGUGAGAACAUGUAUUUUGUCCAAAAUGUCAUUUGUGAAAACUGAUCUGUUCACGAAACGCUAUUAACUUUGAGUGUUGUGGUG